CAGUGACAAGUUUGUGUCGUAAUGACGUCAUCACGUAAUGACAUCACAACGUCAUUUAGCAACUUGUAGCAACAAAUCGACCUUCCUUUAGCAACUCUCAUGAAAAUUAGUUGGCAGCACUGUAUGAAGUUCUUUGAUCAGACAUCUGUGCUCGUCUAGUUGGGACGACACUUGGGCUGAUUUUGUUGGCCUGACAAGGGUUUUUAUUACAGCCAGGUUUGCUCCGAAUAAGCCAAGUGUGCACGCUACAAAAGUGGAAGAAUCCCAUUUCCAGCGCUUGGCCCCAUUUCCUGCCGGCUGCACUUUCUAGAAGGGAGGAGGAGGACACCGAGCAUCCUGCGCAUCUCCUGGACCCGCUGCUCUGCGAGCAUCAUGCUGGAUGUGCUGCUGUUGAUGUUCUUCGCCAUCAUCGGCCUUGUGUUCCUGUCCUACAUCAUCUACGUGCUCUGACCACGGCAGCUUCACCGGUGCGCCGCCGUGAGAGCGGGCGCGAGACUCACCGGAGAGAUCUGAGCUCAGAGGAAGAAGCUCUGUGAAGGGGAUCAGGAUGUGAAUUUACUGAUGAGGAUACACUCACAAGAUGAGACUCACCCAUAUCUCUGUGUCACACAGACACUGUUCCUAUAGCAUAGCAGCUGACACAAAACCUACACCACACUGCUGUUCCUCCCCUUUCAUUUAGGAGACUCUGUUCAAAUGUAUUUUUCCCCCAAACAGACUGAAACACUAAACCCCAAGAUCUAUGGAUGUCUGGCUAUUCUUUUUCCUUUUCUGUUCCUCCGUGUAGAAUUUCUGCAAAUAACUGUUUACAAACUCCCAGUGUAAUGGUUAUCAAAUUCAUGUAUUUUGUCAAAGGAUGUUCAUGAAUAACUGAUUUUCAAGAUAAAGAGCCUUUGUGAGGAUGA